CAGAGGCGGAGGCGGGGACUCGGCGCGGCUGCCUCCUCGGGGCAGAGUCCCGGGCCGGGCGGCGGCGCGCGGACAAAGCGCUCUCUCUGCCUCCCUCUCUCUCCCUCUCAAGGCGGUGGCGGGAGGAGGAGCAGCGGCGGGCGGCGGCAGCGCACCCCGCGUGUGUCUGUGUGAGAGUUUGAGGGAGAAGAAUGGCGGGAUUCAGAGGUGAGGAGGCAGAAGAAGAUUCCAAGCUCUGGACCUCUGGGGGCCACUGGGAGAGUUGAAGGUUUGAUCGCGGAUAUGUUGGGUUUUGUGAAGGCGUUGGGGCGCGGGUGCGGGGAGUGUCCUUGGGUGGAGAAGUCACGAAUGUAGGAAUGGAACAAGUUCGGGUCUCCUGACUGGGUCGUGAAGUAGUAUUGUCUUUCCCAAGCUUUCCUGUUGAUGAGCGGCGUGGAGAGAAUGGGGCUUGCUGGAUUUUGUAUUUUCCGCAAGUACUCCCAGGUGAUUCUGGUCUGGUAAACACUGUUGGAGUGGAAGGCCUAUCUGCCCCGGACUCAGACCUUCUCUCUGCCCCCAUCUUUGUGCCCUGAGAUGUUCCAGCAUUCUCGAGCCUAAGUUUCUUCAUCUAUAAGGAGAUAAAAUAACCAGUCCUCGCAGGGCUGUUGUGAGGGCUACAAGAAGGAUAACUGCCUAGCGUGUUGAGACAUGGGUGGUCAGACACUUAAUGCCUGUUUCUCUUCUUUCCCCCAGGAAUUCAUGAACUUUUAAAAUACUUUAUUCUACAGAAGGAGAUCUUCUUAACUAAUUAGGUAUCCAGAGGAGAAAGUAAUGAAUCCAUUUUCACCUAGAUAUUUGCAGUUAUUUGAAUUCUGGCUUUUGUCUCAAGUAUUCACAUAUUUUUUUCUCUCUCUAGAAAAAGAAUCGGAUUUUACUGCUCCAGGAGUUGAGAAUGAACUUGGUUACUAAUCCCCAAAGUAAUAGAUAAACUAGGUGUGGAUGCUUCUUUACUAAAUUGUAUCAGAGAAUCACAAAUGAACAUGACUUGUGCAUGCAUAAACCUCAGCAGACUGAACUAACCAUCUUUAGAUUAUUUACACAUGUGCUCCUAAUUGAUAUGGUCACCUUUAUAUUAUAGGACAGCAUAUUUGCUUAUUAUUCACAGGUACAUGUAAAGGAGAAACGAGAGUGGCAGGAAUAGUUGGCCUCAUUCCUCUCCAACAGGUCAGAAAAACUUGUUGUUGUUGUUGUUGUUGUGUAGCAUUUUAGAUACAUCAAUUAUUUGGUCUUACUGUGAGACGAAAAACACAUUAGACAAUGUACAGAUUCUUGGCAGAGGUGGUGUAUCAGUCCAUUUUCAUACUGCUCUGAAGAAAUGCCCAAGACUGGGUAAUUUAUAAAGAAAAAGAGGCUUAAUGGACUCACAGUUCCACACGGCCCAGGAGGCCUCCUCAUAGCGGAAGGUGAAGGAGGAGCAAAGGCACAUCUUACAUGGGGGCAGGCAAGAGCACGUGUGCAGGGGAACUGCCCUUUAUAAAACCAUCAGAUUUCGUGAUACUUAUUCACUAUUGCAAGAACAGCAUGGGAAAAACCCACCCCCAUGAUUCAGUUACCUCCCACCGGGUCCCGCCCAUGACAUGUGGGAAUUAUGGGAGUUACGUUUCAAAAUGAGAUUUGCGUGAGGACACAGCCGAACCCUAUCAGGUGGCUUCUGGUGAACUCUUCUUACCCUGCUUCACCAAGUCACUUUGAAAUUUUUUUUUUCAGAGAAAUAAUUGCUCUUUGCUGCAGUUGUCAGCUGUCCUGCUGGAAUUUUGGAAACAGCAGGGCUGCAGAAGGAGGGCUUGAACUGUAAGUGUGAUGGAGGGCAUGCUUCCACUACACCCCUGGUUUGCAGCAUCUACAGUGCCUUAUCUUAGAAUGCAGAGUUAUUUUUCACAUGAUAGAGAAGGGGUUGGGGACCUUUGAAGACAAUAGGGGACAGCCUCCAAGUGCAAAGUCAGAAAUUCAGAGGCCUUGCUCCUGCCAGGCAAAACUUAUUUUCUACCUGUUUUCUCUCGAGUUCCCCUACUUAUCCCUCCCCCAGAGAGCUGAAACAGAGACCAUCUUGAUUGAUCUAGACUUGGUUUACACCUGAUAAGCCAAGAUUUUAUGAAUGUUUAACAGAGGUCAGAAAUUUGGAGAAAAUCUUAUAGUAGGCAUAUUACCUUUUAAAGCAUGAAUUAACUAAUGUUUUCCUCAAGAGUUUCAAAGGCAGUACAGAUCCUCAUUGUUUCCCAGCGAUUCUUUUGGGCAAGACAGUGAUAAGGUGGCUGGGACAAGCUUUCUUAAUCCUUCUUUUCAGGUAAGAAAACUGAAGCUCAGGAAAGUAUAAUUUUUUCUUAAUCACAUGGAGGGCCUGAAACACACCUGGAAAAAACAUUUUAGUCUAACAACAAAGAGUUCAUAAGUGUUAAGUCUUUUUCUUUUCUUUUUUUUUUUUUUUUUUUAAAAAAAGUCUUACUGUCACCCAGGCUGGAGUGUGGUGGGGUGAUCAUGGCUCACUGCAAUCUCAAACUUCCAGACUCAAGCAGUCCUCCCACCUCAGUCUCCCGAGUAGCUGGGACUACAGAUGCAUGCCACCAUGCCCAGCUAAAAUUUUUUUUAAGAGAUGGGAUCUCACUGUGUUGCCCAGGCUGGUCUCAAACUCUUGAGCUCAAGCGAUCCUUUUGAACCUACAAAGCUAUAGCGGAAUGUUUUUUUGCUCAACUGAUAAUGUAGUCAGUAUAACCAGUGUCUCUAGAUAAUGUGAGAAGUUGAAAGAGAAAGUGAAGCCUAUUUGCUGGAAGGCUGAGGCAAAGCCAACAUUUGGAGGUAAUUCUUAGAAGGUCCUGCACCUGCCUGUGCAUCAGGAAUGAUUUGGUAGUAGGGUAAUGUCCCUUAGACCAGUAGUCCCCAACCAUUUUGGCACCAGGGACCGGUUUCAUGGAAGACUAUUUUUCCACAGACAGGUUGGGGGGUGGUUUCAGGAUGAAACUUCUUCACCUCAAAUCAUCAGGCAUUAGUUAGAUUCUCAUAGGGAGCAUGCAACCUAUCCUCACAUGCGCAGUUCAAAAUAAGGUUCAAGUUCCGAUGAGAAUCUGAUGCCACCGCUGAUCUGACAGGAGGUGGAGCUCAGGCAGUAAUGCUUGCCUGCUCCUCACCUCCUGCUGUGUAGCCGGGUUCCUAACAGGCCACAGUACCAGUCCAUGGCACCAAGGUUGGGGACCCCUGCCUUAGACACCUUUUCUUGAGUUAGCAUAAGAUAAUUGCCUUAUGCCAGUUACUUCAUCUAUUUGAGCUUCAGAUUCCUCAUUUGUAAACUAGCCCAAUUGUUUCCUCACUAUAAACUCUAGCCUACCUCCCCCUGCAGUUUCAUAUUAUGCAAAUGCUAGGUCAUUUCAGAAUUCCGUCUUUUUGCACAUUUGUUCUCUUUCCCUGGAAUGCAUUUCUUCCCCUGGUAAACUCCUGUCUUCCCCUGACUUGGCCCCAUGAUACACACAGCACUUCAUACAGAUAAAAAAUAUUUUGUCUAGUGAUAGUUGUACAACUGUGAAUAUAUUAAAAACCAUUGAAGUGUAUUUUAAGUGAGUAAAUUUUACGGUAUGUGAGUUAUAUCUGAAUUUUUAAACAUGGAGGAUGGAGGGAAGCCUUCCCUACUACAUGGUGGGUUUCUGGAGGAAUAAGAUCUUCUCAUUUUCCUGUUAGAAUUUCCUUUGGCCCGUAUGAAACCUGGUCCAUAAUAAAGGCUCGGGUAAUAUUGUUGAAUAAACAAUGACCAUCUGAGGUUUGCUCUAAGGGAUUAAACGAAGAUGUAUGUGAUGGUAUUUAUCUUGCACAAUCCCCUUGUUGAAUUCAUUUAUUCAUGGCACUGUGUAGUGCUAAGCACUGAGGAUACAGAAUAAAUAAACAUCAUCCUGAUCUCAAGGAAUUUAUGGUCAGUGGAGGAGGCAGAUAUAUAAACAGACCAUAGCAUGGCAUUAGAGGUGCCACAGUAGACUUUGUGAGCAUACAAGAUAGAGCAUCCCAUUCAGCCCAGUGUUGGGGAAGGGAACAUCAGGAAAGAAUUGAUUUUGGUUUUGAAGGAUAAUUAGGGAUUUACUAGAAUACAAGACGUAAGAGAGGAAAUACAUCCUAGGCAGAAAGAAUAGCAUAUGCAAAGGCACAGACACACAAAGUAUCUGUUCCACAUUUGAAAUCCAAUCCAAAUGUUAACUCAGAAAUGUUUGAGAACAAGACAGAAGAAAUAAUGCAAAACAAAAAAGAUUCUCAGAAUCAAAGACAUGGAUCUCCAGAUCAAAGAGUUUGCAGAAGGCCCAGCAAAAUGAAUGAUAGAAGAUCUAAAAAUCACAUCAUCAUGAAAUUCUGAACUCAAAUUAUAAAAGCAUCUGGACAAAAUAGGUCGCAUACAAAGGAGUUGGAACAGGAAUGAGAAUGUAUUUUCCUAAAACAGGAAACUAGGGAGUCAAUAGAGCAAUGCCUUUAAAACUGAGUGGAAAUUAUCUUCAAUCUAGAAUUCUAAACCUAGUGAGACCAUCAGUUUAAAAAGAUAUGCAAGAAUUCAGACAUGCCCGUUUUGGGGAAGCUACUGGGAGAUAAGUGCCAGCAAAACCAUGGAAGAAGAUUACAUGGGAUUUGGGAAAUAAGGAAUCCAACAUGGUAGACUCUGAAUUUAAAAAUCCAGAAUGCCUGCAAUGCAGCCAUCCCACGAGCAACCAGCACAGAUUGGAACAAGAGGAUAGAUGGCUCAGAAUGAGGUCUUCAAGGAACAACAACAAAAUGGAACUCAUUUCUGUGAGUGCAUAAUGAUUAUUUCUGAUAGGAUAGCAGACAUGUUGGAGCAUUUGGAAAAAAUUAAUCACAAGUAUAUGGAAAGCCAGACAAGUGGGAAAACAAGGAAAUCAUUAACUGAAGGAAAAAUACGUGGUCAUACAAGAAAGGAGCAAUGGUCAUAGGCUCAACAGUGAAAAUGUUUGUACAGUCAUAGUGUAAACACUGAUGUAUUAUCCAAGCUGCAUAAAGAGAUCUUAUAAAUCAAUUAGAAAAAGACAACCAUUGGAAAAACGAGCAAAGUGUAUGAAUGGGCUAAUUCACAGAAGAUGAAACUCAAGCUCAACUCAUGAGUAAUUGGGGAAAUUAAAACUAUUCACUGGCUGGGCAUGGUGGCUCAUGCCUGUAAUUCCAGCACUUUGGGAGCCUGAAGCAGGAGGGACUGCUCGAGGCCAGGAGUUCAAGACCAACCUGGUCAAUGAAGUAAGACCCAGUCUCUACAAAAAAAAAAAAAAUUAAAAAUUAGCAGAGUGUGGUAGUACAUACCUGUAGUCCUAGCCAUUCAGGAGGCUGAGGCAAGAGGAUUCCUUGAGUCCAAAAGGUUCAGGCUACAGUGAGCUAUGAUCAUGCCACUGCACUCCAGUUUAGGUGACAGAGCGAUACCCUGUCAUUUAUACAUACAUAUGUACAUAAAAUCAAAUUGACAAAAAUCUUAAAAUUCUGAUGGUUCAAGGGUCUUAGUGAGGGUAUGGAGCAUCAGAAACAGUCAUCCACUGCUGGCAAGAGUAUACACAGGUACAAUUACUCUGAAGAGUAAUUUGUCAGUAUCUAGCAAAGCUGAAGAUACAGGCCCUGAGUACGGCCUGGCAGUCUUUCUCCAAGAUGGUUAUUUCUUAUCUCACUUUCAGCUUCUAAUUGAUCAUCUCCACCCAGGGUCUCAGCUGAUAACCCUGCUUUCUAUUUCACUGAGAGACUAGAAGCAAGCAGAAAAGCACUUCAAAUAUUUGCCCACAUACUUGCAUCUGUGCCCAUAGACUCCAUAUUUCUUAAAUUAUAAUGGAUGACUAUGCAUGAUUUAGAAGAGAGGUAAAAACUGAUGACUCCAGAGAAAAUAAACAUCCACACCCUUUGUGGAAGAAACAUAUAUGACCAUUCAUUGUAGCACUGUGAUGGUGAAAAAUUUAAAUGUCCAUCAACAAUAAAACUGGUACAUUGUGGCAUAGCUAUAAAUUGACUACUAUAUAUUGAGUCAAAGGGGACACAUGUUUAUUCAUUUUCUCUGGAAUCAUUACUGUUUCCUCACUUCUGGAUGAAAUAAAAUAGGCAACGUGUCAACAUUAACCACCUAAACAAAAACAAACAUAUGCUAAGUGAAAAGUUAUAGAAGGAUGUUGGUUAUACGAAGUUUUCUUUCUUUCUUCCCUGCCCCCCAGACCCACCGGAGACAGGGUCUUGCUUUGUCACCCAGGCUGCAGGACAAUGGCAUGAUCUCAGCUCACUGCCACCCCUGCCUUCCAGGCUGAAAGAUUCCUCCCACCUCAGCCUACUGAGUAACUGGGACUACAGGUGUUCACCACCACAAUGGCUAAUUUUUUGUACUUUUGCAAGAGAUGGGAGUUUCGCCAUGUUCCCUAUGAUUGGUCUCGAAUGCCUGAGCCCAAGCUGUCCAUCCUCGUUGGCCUCCCGAAGUGCUGGGAUUAUAGGUGUGAGCCACUACAGCUGAUCUCUACAAAGUUUGAAAACAUGCAAAGCAAUUCUGUUGUUGAUAUGGACACAUUUGUGUGGCAUAAUUGUACAAAAACAUGCAUGGGAACAGCAAACUCUAAAUUGGGGAUAAUGAUUACCUUUAAGGAGGGAGAAAAGGGAAUAGGGGGAGGUGGAAGGGCACAGAUAGAAUUUCUGUUUUUUUAAUUUAAUUUUUUUUUUUACACGGAGUUUCACUCUUGUUGCCCAGGCUGGAGUGCAAUGGCGCAAUCUUGGCUCACCACAACCUCUGCCUCCUGGAUUCAAGUGAUUCUCCUGCCUCAGCCUCCCGAGUAACUGGGAUUGCAGGCAUGCACUACCAUGCCCGGCUAAU
rnacentral:lncRNA from 1 species